GACGAACGCUGGCGGCGUGCUUAACACAUGCAAGUCGAACGGAAAGGCCCUGCUUUUGUGGGGUGCUCGAGUGGCGAACGGGUGAGUAACACGUGAGUAACCUGCCCUUGACUUUGGGAUAACUUCAGGAAACUGGGGCUAAUACCGGAUAGGAGCUCCUGCUGCAUGGUGGGGGUUGGAAAGUUUCGGCGGUUGGGGAUGGACUCGCGGCUUAUCAGCUUGUUGGUGGGGUAGUGGCUUACCAAGGCUUUGACGGGUAGCCGGCCUGAGAGGGUGACCGGGCAAAUUUGGACUGAGAUACGGCCCAGACUCCUACGGGAGGCAGCAGUGGGGAAUAUUGCACAAUGGGCGGAAGCCUGAUGCAGCAACGCCGCGUGCGGGAUGACGGCCUUCGGGUUGUAAACCGCUUUCGCCUGUGACGAAGCGUGAGUGACGGUAAUGGGUAAAGAAGCACCGGCUAACUACGUG
rnacentral:rRNA from 1 species